rnacentral:lncRNA from 1 species
UUGGGACCCUCAGGUAUAGACUUCAGUAUCGAGUUAAACAAGACCAAUCAUGGCAUGUUUUAGACAUGUUCAGAUAUGUAAAUCAAAAUCAUGUUUAUCAGCCCUAAAUGUACAGAAUCUAAAUUUAAUUCACAAGAGGAGGUUUGUGAGUUAAUGAGCGUCAGUAAUCUCAUGGACUCUGAAUGUGUUUUAUUCUUUCAACAUUCAACAUUCAACAGAAGAUCUGUUACAACCUGCAGAUGGAAAAAUUCCCAAAUCCAGCCUAAAAAUACGUGAAGGAGGGAGACAGAAGAAGGAGAAGCAAGUGAAGAAUAGAGGAAGUUACUGGGACAAAUACAGCAGAUCUUCAUACUAUAAUGUAGAAUAUGAAGAAACACAUAAACCACUUGCAUUUGUUCAUUUCAAGGAUCACUAGUUGCUCUUAAUAUGGGUUUAGGAGUUUUGUUCUACAUAUUUUGAGUGUGAAGGUUCAUGACUGAAGCCCCUAUAAUGAAAGACAGAAUAACAAGAGAAAAACGAACUAAUUUACAUAAUAUAAGUUCUACAUGACACAAGAGCCAACAUAAGGAAAUGAAGACUCAAAGAAGCAAUUAAACCUGAGGGUCUUUUAAAUAUAAGAUGAGAAUGCGCUUUUCCUCUGGGGAUUGUGAAGGCACCUCUCAUAUGGUCUCAUACCCUGCUUCACAGAAGAAGGGCGAGUGAAGAACAAAACACCUGUCACAUGAGGGUCUUCAGCAAGGAGAAAGAUCAGAAAAUGACCUUCCUAGGUUUUAUGCCCUGCUUCAGGGGAGAAGAGUGAGGGGAAGAUGAGAGUGACCUUCCUACUUCUGCUGUUUCCUCAAAUGCCAAGGUGCCAUAUCUUGGGGUAGCAUGUCCUGUUUUUUUUAACAAUACACGAAGCUAAAAUUCUAAACUGUUUAUAAAACUUCAUGGUCAUGUAGAAGCAGCAAAUCCAUAUGGGUCUGCAGUAAUUGGAUUCUUACCUCCUGGGAGGAAAGACUUCAUCUGAGGGACAUAAGGCAGAGUGAUAGACUGAGGCAAGUUUUAGAGCAGGAGUGAGAGUUUGUUAAAAAGUUCUAGAGCAAGAACGAAAGGAAGCAAAGUACACUUGGAAGAGGGCCAAAUUGGCAACUUGAGGGAUCCAAGUGUGCUGUCCGACCCUUGACUUAGGGUUUUAUGCAUUGGCAUGAUUCUGGGGUUUGCGCUUCUUCUCCACGGAUUCCUCCCUUGGGGUGGGAUAUCUGUAUGCACAGUGGCCUGCCUAUACUUGAGAGGCACCACAUGCACAGUAUGUUUGCUGAAGUUAUGCACAUGCUCAUUUGAGAUGUUUUUCCUUUACCAGUUGAAUGUUCCUAGAGGAAAGUCACAAAUUAGUUAAACUCAGGCAUUUUGCCUCUUAAUGCACAUGCUUGAGUCCAUUCACCCAAAUCCUGAAAUCUUAUUGGGAUGCUGCUGAUCAUCAGCUUUAGGUGUUUCUAUCUAUUGGGAGACUGCCUUUCUCUGGUGUUGGUUGCAAACAAUUAAUUUAGAGAGCCCAUUUAACAGCCACCUGACCACCACCUGAUGCUCACCUGACAUUCCUGGUUUGUGGGGCUAGGGGAAGGGGCAUUUCCUGCCCUGCUCAUGUCUGCCUAGCUACAUACUCUAACAGUCAUAGUUGGAAGAAAACAUUUCCUCUUUAAAUCAAAAAUAAUAAAUUUAAGAAGAAAGGUAUUAGGAGUGAAUUACAUUAUGAAGUUUCUAUAUUUAUUUUAUGGUAAAAAUUUAGGAUCUCAAUCACUUAUUUCAUUUAUCUGUGAUAUUCCGGCUGCAG